AAGUCGUAACAAGGUUUCCGUAGGUGAACCUGCGGAAGGAUCAUUACCGAGAGUUGCAGGCUUUUGUCUGCCAUCUCUUACCCAUGUCUUUUGCGUACUACACGUUUCCUCGGCAGGUCCGCCUGCCGUUAGGACCCCAUUAAACCAUUUGCAGUUGUAGUCAGCGUCUGAAAAACUUAAUAAUUACAACUUUUAACAACGGAUCUCUUGGUUCUGGCAUCGAUGAAGAACGCAGCGAAAUGCGAUAAGUAGUGUGAAUUGCAGAAUUCAGUGAAUCAUCGAAUCUUUGAACGCACAUUGCGCCCUAUGGUAUUCCAUAGGGCAUGCCUGUUCGAGCGUCAUUUGUACCUUCAAGCUCUGCUUGGUGUUGGGUGUUUGUCCCGCCUUUGUGCGCGGACUCGCCUUAAAGCAAUUGGCAGCCGACGUCUAGGUUUCGGAGCGCAGCACAAAUCGCGCUCUGUGUCCUGGUACGGCGGCGUCCAUCAAGACUAUUUUACACUCUUGACCUCGGAUCAGGUAGGGAUACCCGCUGAACUUAAGCAUAUCAAUAAGCGGAGGAAAAGAAACCAACAGGGAUUGCCCUAGUAACGGCGAGUGAAGCGGCAACAGCUCAAAUUUGAAAUCUGGCGUCUUUGGCGUCCGAGUUGUAAUUUGCAGAGGGCGCUUUGGCGUUGGCAGCAGUCUAAGUUCCUUGGAACAGGACGUCACAGAGGGUGAGAAUCCCGUACGUGGUUGCUGGCCUUCGCCGUGUAAAGCCCCUUCGAC
rnacentral:sRNA from 1 species